UACGUAGGGCGCGAGCGUUGUCCGGAAUUAUUGGGCGUAAAGAGCUCGUAGGCGGCCUGUUGCGUCCGCUGUGAAAUCCCGGGGCUUAACCCCGGGCGUGCAGUGGAUACGGGCUGGCUGGAGGCAGGCAGGGGAGAACGGAAUUCCCGGUGUAGCGGUGAAAUGCGCAGAUAUCGGGAGGAACACCCGUGGCGAAGGCGGCUCUCUGGGACGGUACUGACGCUGAGACGCGAAAGCGUGGGGAGCAAACAGG
rnacentral:rRNA from 1 species